GAUGAACGCUGGCGCGUGCCUCAAACAUGCAAGUCGAGCGAGGCUAUGAAUUACCGCAAGGUAAGGCAUAGCCUAGCGGCGAACGGGUGAGUAACACGUGGGUAACCUACCUGGAAGACAGGGAUAACGAUUCGAAGGGGUCGCUAAUACCUGAUAAUAUCCGUCUGCCGGAUGGCGGAGGGAAGAAAGGGGAAACCCGCUUUCAGAUGGGCCCGCGUCCCAUCAGCUAGUUGGUAAGGUAAAGGCUUACCGAGGCGACGACGGGUAGCCGGUCUGAGAGGAUGUACGGCCACACUGGGACUGAGAUACGGCCCAGACUCCUACGGGAGGCAGCAGUUGGGAAUCUUAGGCAAUGGACGAAAGUCUGACCUAGCGACGCCGCGUGAGGGAAGAAGGCCUUCGGGUUGUAAACCUCUGUCAUGGGGGAAGAAGGAAGUGACGGUACCCCAAGAGGAAGCCCCUGCUAACUACGUG
rnacentral:rRNA from 1 species